rnacentral:lncRNA from 10 species
AGAAGGCGAUGGAGACCAGCCUUGGCUGGACCACUUCCACCCCAGAGGCUCUUCACCGCCUCCCCAUCCAGACCCAAGGUUCCCUAGUGGUCCAGACGGUUUCCUUGGCAGCGCUGGCACCAGAGACAAUGUUUCACCAUGUUGGCCAGGCUGGUCUCGAACUCCUGACCUCAAGUGACCCGCCCGCCUUGUCCUCGAAUAGUGCUGGGAUUACAGGUGCGACCCACCACACCCGGCUGCAAUGUUUGUUUUAAUUACUUUUGGCAAGUAUUUCCUGAGUACCCCGAGCGUGCCAGGUGAAGAGAGACGGAUAAUAACAGCGCUAGCCAGCACGUAUUAAGCCUUGCAAAGCUGCACGGGCAUGAACUUGUGGCUUCAACACAACCUUAUGAGGCCCACCACAGCUGCCAAACAUGAGGUGAUGGGACAGCCCUCGUGGCCUCCACCCACCGCCCUGGUGGAGAAGUGAAACAUGAACCCACCAGUGCAAGACAGAGGAAGAGGCACCAGCGAAGACACAGUUGCUCAUGCCUGUAAUCCCAGCACUUUGGGAGGCCGAGGCGAAGUGGAUCACUUGAGGUCAAGAGUCCGAGACCAGCCUGGCCAAUACAGUAAAACCCCGUCUCUACUGAAAAUACAAAAAAUUACCUGGGUAUGGUGGUGGGCAACUGUAAUCCCAGCGACUUGGGAGGCUGAGGCAGGAGAAUCACUUUAACCUGGGAGGCAGAGGUUGCAGUGAGCUGAGAUCGCACCACUGCACUCCAGCCUGGGCAACAGAGUGAGAUUCUGUCUCAAAAAAACCCAAAAAACAAAACAAACAAAAACAUUUGUUUCCCUAUAAUGAAUAGGAUUGCUUGUGUUUUAAAAGGGAGUAACCCAAUCACAGCACU